GGCUCUAUGGCGCAAUGGUAGCGCGUCAGAUUCCAGUGCUUGGAAGUACCUGAAGGCUAUCCGUUCAAAUCGGGUUAGGGUCA
rnacentral:tRNA from 1 species